CCUGUUGUGGUAUCGAUAUCAUGAUUUAGGUUAGCGAUCUUGGGUGGAAGAUCUGUAUUUCGCACUCGUAAGAGAUCCUUUCCAACAAAGAGGCACCCGCAUGACAAUGGUAGUAUGUUUCUUCCCAAAAGGGGGUUCGUGCCUUGAUCCGAGAUAUCCCUUCCUCAAUUCAUGAUUGGAAGGAGCGCUUCUUUUACGUCUCUUAGCCUCAAGAGAUU
rnacentral:lncRNA from 1 species